AUAUUAGAUGAAAUAGACUUUAAAACAAAGACCAUAAAGGAUAAAAAAAGAACACUGCCUAAUGAUAAGAGGAUUAAUAUAAGAAGAGGAUAUUACAUUUGUUAACAUAUAUGCACCCAAUAAAGGAGCACCUAAAUACAUAAAAGAAAUACUAACAGACAUAAAGAGAGGAAUUGACAGGAACACGAUAAUAGUAGAAGACUAUAACACCCCAUUGAUCAGUGGACAGAUCUUCCAGACAGAAAAUCAGUAAGGCAACAGAGAUCCUAAAUGACACAAUAAAACAGUUAGAUUUAAUUGAUAUUUUCUGUACAUUACACCCCAAAAAACUAGAAUAUACAUUCUUUUCAAGUGCACAUGGAACAUUCUCUAGGAUAGAGCACACACUAGGACACAAAACAGGUCUCAAAACAUUUUAAGAGGAUAGAAAUUAUUUCAAAGAUCUUUUCUGACCACAACAGCAUAAAACUAGAAAUCACAGAAAGAGAAAUGAGAAGAAAAGCUUGCAUGGCAACUAAACAACAUGCUACUAAAAAAACCAAUGGGCUGAGUUGUCUCCGAGGCGCGGCAAGGAAAAAGGAUUAGCCAUGUCGUCUUUGAUCAGAAAGGUGAUCAGCACCGCGAAAGCCCCAGCGGCCAUUGGUCCCUACAGUCAGGCUGUGUUAGUCGACAGGACCAUUUACAUUUCAGGACAGCUAGGCAUGGAUCCUGCAAGUGGACAGCUUGUGCCAGGAGGGGUGGCAGAAGAGGCUAAACAAGCUCUUACAAACAUGGGUGAAAUCCUGAAAGCAGCAGGCUGUGACUUCAUGAAUGUGGUAAGAACAGCUGUUUUGCUGGCUGACAUAAACGACUUCAAUACUGUCAAUGACAUCUACAAACAAUAUUUCCAGAGUAGUUUUCCUGCAAGAGCUGCUUACCAGGUUGCUGCUUUGCCCGAAGGAGGCCGUGUUGAGAUUGAAGCAGUAGCUGUCCAAGGACCUCUCGUGACGGCAUCGCUCUAAGUGGGCCCAGUGUUUAGUCUGGAAUUUUAAUAAUGUUUUUAAAUUAACAUCUUAAUUUUUACAGUAUUUGUUGGAAAGUGUAAGGUUGACUGAAAUAUAUGAAGUUAUUAUGGAAAUACCAUAUAAUAAGGGGAUUGAACAUGAGUUGAAGAUUAAUGAUGAAUCUAGUUACUGAUGUUAUAAAUUACACUUCUAUAACACUCAUUACUGGAUGUGGGAAAAGAGACACACAUAGUUACUCAGAAAAAUAAAAGUAAAGGGAAAUAGCAUGUAGGAAAGAUGAGUUACUAUUCCUGAGAAAUAAUAAAGAGCACACCUAAUUCAAUUAAACUCUGUUAAUUUAAUGGUAUGAACUAUUUCGUUCUCAUGUCAGAUACAUGAUUCUGCUUUUACUUGAGUAAAAUUAAAGCAUUUAAGUUUGAAUGGUAGAGGUAAAGGAGAAGAAACUGGA